UUUCGUCAAAGUCAUAAUCAUGAUUAUUGGAAUAGUUACAUUGUUGUUUGUUUAUGUGAAGGCUAUUCCAGAGGUAAACCACCUGAUUGAAAUUGAUCACAUGGGACGCAAAGUGGCUAUGGAUAUUAUACACGACACUGAAGAAAAGACUGUCAUUGCUAUCGUUGGCGACGUUUGUAAAUACAAGAAUGGUGUCCCGAGAGUGAAUUUUCAUGAUUAUAGCACGGGCUACGGUGCGCUGAAAAAUAUAAACAAGCAAACGUGUAUUAUCACGAAAUCCCCUGUACCCAUGGCAUCAGACAGAAAAUACAGAAUCGGGUGGACCGCUGAGGUACAUGAUCACAUUCUAAACAUUGUGCAGCGCUAAAUGACUUAUGACGAAGUGAAGGAUUUAGCUGGACACAAAGUUGCAGCUUUCUGUAAAGAUUAUAGGUCAAUGCAUGCUAAAGUUUCUCCUUUCAAAAGGCCACGGAGAGAUGCAGAUUUUACUUCAUCCAGUUCCUUGAGCUACAUGUGGUGUGUAUUUUCCAGUUGUGCUGCCAAGUCUACGGAUGCGCUUUGAAAAAUAAUUGAAAAUAAAUAAAUAACACAA